GGAGAAAGCUCAUCAGUCUCAAGGAGAAGGCUGGUUCAUAAUCACAGGGCAAAUCAACAGAGGAGCCCAUGUUCAAGAACAGUAUUCACAUAACCAAAAGGUGGAAGCAUCUCAAGUGUCCAUCGACAGGUGAAGAAAUUCUGGAGACUGGUUGCAUUGCACAACAAUGAAUAGGCUUAACACCACUGAACUAUACACUUAAAAAUGGCUUGCAUGCAGCACAUAAAACCACAUCUUUUCUUUCUGAGUCCAACCUGAGAAGUCAUUUCCGUGGCAGCAGAAUUCCAUCCGUGAUG